AUGGCCGGUGCGCGCGCUGGCGGGUCGUUCCUCGCCGUCACCCUCAUGGUGGUGGUGGCCGCAUCAUCCAUGCCGGUGGUCAAGGGGGAUGACAAGUCUGCUUGCGUCGGCGAGUACUCCAAGCUUUGCGGCUACAAGGACCCCGCGUGCACUACCAUGGUCGAGACGACCUGCCACGAUGAUGCCGACAGCGUCAAGGCCAUCAAGGGCAUGUUCGACGAGCUGGCCAAGGUCGGUGGAGACAACUAUGAUUAUGCUUCUACGGCAAUGUCGUGGGGGCACGUGGCCCUCGGCCAUGCCGUCGACGAGCAUGGGGCCUGCCCCGGCAACAAGACGGUCGGAGAUUUUGCCGGUGAGCACUGCAUCCCGGACCUUGACGCGGCAUGCAAGGAUCCCAGCUGCAGCGACGGAGCUUACAUCGAAUGCGGCGGUGCGGCGUCGAGAUUCUGCUACAUCAAGGCCAUCCCCGCCGACAAGAAAGCCAUACAGCAAAACUUGAAAUGCUUCAAGGAGUGUUUAGCGCAGAAGAAGAAAAGUGAAGACUGCAUCCUCCACAACAAUGAAAAGUUCAUCGCCGCCAGUAGAUCAUCUGCGCCACUCGACUUCGAUAAGCGACAACGUUGUCGGGCGACGGUUUUCUUGAACCUGGGGGUGUUCAACGGGCACAAUGACUUGUAUUCGCUUCGGCGCUUGGACCUCUCCAAGGUCGACUUGUUCUACCAGACACCUAAAGAAGCGGCCGCGCACACCAAGGUGGUGCUGAUGCUCACGCCCGCCAAGGCCUCGGCGCGCAACACAAGGAGAACUGCAAGGCUGACUUGGCGAUGCUUCGUCUUGCAGUCCAAGGCGCAAGGUGGAGGUCCAGACCAGGUGGACAUGGAGAAGCUUGUGUCAUCGCUUCCUCUCCAUCUUCUUGCUCUAAGUUUGGAUGUCGGAAGAGGUUCAGAUUUGUCAUAUGUGCUCCGUGGCGUGCGCUUUUUGCAUUCUUUGUCUGAGCUAGCAACUCGCCACACUAAGCUGGAGCAGGUUCUUCUGGAUGACGUGAAGUUAUCUGAACAAGUUAUGGACCUGAUAUUCUAUCUGCUGUCCGUUCUGUCCCACUGGAAGAAGGAAGAUCAUCUCGGCGCUUCUCCCUUCAUACAUUCAUCACUUGUAGCAGGAAGUCUUCAUCUGAUGACGAGUUACUUCUCAUCUCUGUGGCAUGAACUUGUUCAUAAUCUUCUUGCACAUCCAAAGUUGUUACAACUGUGUGAAUCUGAAAGUAUUUCUUACCUCGAUGAAGUCGCCACUUUACCAAAGAGCAUGCAACUAGGGCUGGAGGUUCUUGAUUUGCUGAAGAUCGCAUUUGGAAGGAAACAGAAACCUGCUGCCGGUUCGCAUGAUAAGAGUUACCCCAUGGGUUCUGUGCUUAUCAGUGCAUUGUGCCUCGUUGACGUCUUUUCUGAUGUUUCAAACUUUAGAUCUUCCUUCAUAACUAAUACUAUUCCCUUUCUGACGCAAAUUUUGGCGACUCCUCAUGAUGAGUUUGUCUCGAGUUGGUGCUCUGUAGAUCUGCCAGUGAUGGAAGAUGACACUAAUCUGGAUUAUGAUCCAUUUGGUGCAGCUGACCUGGCACUGUUAGCUGCUUCAAAUGUGCUGACUGAAGCUAAAGUGGCAAAAAGUGAUGUCACAUCAGAAAUGAAGGUAGACUUGCAACCGGUGCAGCAGCCCCAGCCAACAAGGGCUGGUGUUCCAGACCCCAAUAUGGAUAAGGAUGCCCCUCCUAAGGAUGUGCAAAACAUCGAAGAGUCUUUGGCGACACCCCCCAUGAAACAAGAUGGAAAUGCUAGGGAUGAGAUAUUGAGACUCCAAGAAACCGUGCCACUAGGGAACGAAAUCGACAGGGGCGAGAUCUUCCAGGUUGAGGGCAGGGCCCAAGGGAAGAGCCUGGCGGAGAGCCACAUCUGCAUCAUCGACGUCACCGAGCUCAAGGUCGAGAAGUGGAGGGAGAUUCCCCACCCUUCCGAGGCAUCUGGAAGGACAUUCCAGGAGGCAGAGUCGAGGCAUGGUGGCGUGAUGAGGGUGGCCUGGGAUGUUGUCAGGCUCGCCCCAGUAGCGACGUACGUAGGGUGGUUGGUUCUCUUUUGUGGUGUCUGGAAUGUAGAAAGGAGCUGCCGUCGGCCCCGUCUGGCUGGGCAUCGACAAGGUACAAACAGCAAGUAG
rnacentral:rRNA from 1 species